rnacentral:rRNA from 1 species
GACGGAGGGUGCAAACGUUGUUCGGAAUCACUGGGCAUAAAGCGCACGUAGGCGGUCCGCUAAGUCAGUUGUGAAAUCCCUCGGCUCAACCGAGGAGCUGCACCUGAUACUGGCGGGCUCGAGAACGGUAGGGGUGAGUGGAACUCCAGGUGGAGCGGUGAAAUGCGUAGAUAUCUGGAGGAACACCUGAGGUGAAGACGGGUUGCUGGGCUGACACUGACGCUGAGGCGCGAAAGCUAGGGUAGCAAACGGG